rnacentral:rRNA from 1 species
GACGAACGCUGGCGGCGUGGAUUAGGCAUGCAAGUCGAACGGUAUCAUCCUUUCGGGGGUGAGAGAGUGGCGAACUGGUGAGUAACACGUAGGUUAUCUACCCUCAAGACAGGGACAACCCAGGGAAACUUGGGCUAAUACCGGAUGUGAGCAACUUUUUAGUUGUUUGAAAGGUGGCGUAAGCUGUCGCUUGGGGAUGAGCCUGCGUCCUAUUAGUUAGUUGGUGAGGUAACGGCUCACCUAGGCAAUGAUAGGUAGGCGGCCUUAACGGGUGGUCGCCCACACUGGGAUUGAGAUACGGCCCAGACUCCUACGGGAGCAGCAGUCGAGAAUAGUCUACAAUGGUCGGAAGACUGAUAGUGCGACGCCGCGUGAACGAUGAAUCCCUUCGGGGUGUAAAGUUCUUUUAAUGUGAGCAGUGCUUCUUAUAUUAAACAGUAUGGGGAGAGAGAUAUUAGCAUAUGAAUAAGCAACGGCUAACUCCGUGCCAGCAGCCGGGUAAAAACG